rnacentral:rRNA from 1 species
GUGGGGAAUAUUGGACAAUGGGCGAAAGCCUGAUCCAGCCAUGCCGCGUGUGUGAAGAAGGUCUUCGGAUUGUAAAGCACUUUAAGUUGGGAGGAAGGGCAGUAAGUUAAUACCUUGCUGUUUUGACGUUACCGACAGAAUAAGCACCGGCUAACUUCGUGCCAGCAGCCGCGGUAAUACGAAGGGUGCAAGCGUUAAUCGGAAUUACUGGGCGUAAAGCGCGCGUAGGUGGUUUUGUAAGUUGGAGGUGAAAUCCCCGGGCUCAACCUGGGAACUGCCUCCAAAAGUGCAUGACUAGAGUACGGUAGAGGGUAGUGGAAUUUCCUGUGUAGCGGUGAAAUGCGUAGAUAUAGGAAGGAACACCAGUGGCGAAGGCGACUACCUGGACUGAUACUGACACUGAGGUGCGAAAGCGUGGGGAGCAAACAGGAUUAGAAACCCUUGUAGUCC